rnacentral:rRNA from 1 species
UACGGAGGGGGUUAGCGUUGUUCGGAAUUACUGGGCGUAAAGCGCGCGUAGGCGGACUACCCAGUCAGAGGUGAAAUCCCAGGGCUCAACCCUGGAACUGCCUUUGAUACUAGUAGUCUUGAGUUCGAGAGAGGUGAGUGGAAUUCCGAGUGUAGAGGUGAAAUUCGUAGAUAUUCGGAGGAACACCAGUGGCGAAGGCGGCUCACUGGCUCGAUACUGACGCUGAGGUGCGAAAGCGUGGGGAGCAAACAGG